GUUGGACAUACGAAAGUGCUGCGAUAAAAGAAUUACGCAAUCACAGUCCAUAGGCAGAGCCCACCUAAACUGCCUAUUUCGCAUUCAUCCGAAAUCUUCAAGAAGGGAAAUCGGGAUGAGCACACGAGGAAUCGAUUGAACUGGGACACCAGGUGGAUUUUGGAUUGCGCAACGAUCAUGUAUACAUAAGCCGAGGUUUUGUGUAAGAUAGAAAAAGAAAAGAAGCCACGUACAAAGGAAUCGUAUGAGGAAAAGCUUCGCUUGUAAAGCGACUUCGCGCAGGAGUACUGAAAAGGACAGAUCACCUAAUCGCUCGGACGACCUCGCAUUAUGGCGGAACUUUCCUUUGUUAGACGACUCCAUUCCGAGCUCUGUAAUUCCACCUUAUAAUGCUCUCAACGAUAACCACGACCUUGUAUUACAUCUAUUUUAGUUAAAAAAAAAAAAA